UACGUAGGGGGCAAGCGUUGUUCGGAAUUACUGGGCGUAAAGGGCGCGUAGGCGGCACAGCAAGUCGGGAGUGAAAGCCCGGGGCUCAACCCCGGAAUGCUUUCGAAACUGCUGAGCUAGAGUACAGAAGGGGCAACCGGAAUUCCCAGUGUAGCGGUGAAAUGCGUAGAUAUUGGGAAGAACACCUGAGGCGAAGGCGGGUUGCUGGGCUGAUACUGACGCUGAGGCGCGAAAGCCAGGGGAGCAAACGGG
rnacentral:rRNA from 1 species